UACGUAGGGGGCAAGCGUUGUCCGGAAUUAUUGGGCGUAAAGCGCGCGCAGGCGGCUUUGUAAGUCUAGCGUUUAAGCUCGGGGCUCAACCCCCGAUACGCGCUGGAAACUGCAAGGCUUGAGUGCAGAAGAGGAAAGUGGAAUUCCACGUGUAGCGGUGAAAUGCGUAGAGAUGUGGGAGGAACACCAGUGGCGAAGGCGACUUUCUGGGCUGUAACUGACGCUGAGGCGCGAAAGCGUGGGGAGCAAACAGG
rnacentral:rRNA from 1 species